AAGACUAUACUUUCAGGAAUAAUUUCUAUAGUUUGUAAUUAGAGAAGUGUGGUUGAAAAUGUCUGAUCUCGCUAACCACAACGAAGAAUUAAAGUGUUUUCUUCUGAGCAUGAAGUGAGAGGACAGUAUUGCUUUAGUACAGUUGCUGUUUGCUAUUGAUGAUUGUUCUUACUUUCCUUUUGAGAAACUGAGAAGAAGAAAACACAGACUGAGUGGU